AGUGAACGCUGGCGGUAGGCCUAACACAUGCAAGUCGAACGGCAGCACAGUAAGAGCUUGCUCUUACGGGUGGCGAGUGGCGGACGGGUGAGGAAUACAUCGGAAUCUACUUUUUCGUGGGGGAUAACGUAGGGAAACUUACGCUAAUACCGCAUACGACCUACGGGUGAAAGCAGGGGAUCUUCGGACCUUGCGCGAUUGAAUGAGCCGAUGUCGGAUUAGCUAGUUGGCGGGGUAAAGGCCCACCAAGGCGACGAUCCGUAGCUGGUCUGAGAGGAUGAUCAGCCACACUGGAACUGAGACACGGUCCAGACUCCUACGGGAGGCAACAGUGGGGAAUAUUGGACAAUGGGCGCAAGCCUGAUCCAGCCAUACCGCGUGGGUGAAGAAGGCCUUCGGGUUGUAAAACCCUUUUGUUGGGAAAGAAAAGCAGCAGGUUAAUACCCCGCUGUUCUGACGGUACCCAAAGAAUAAGCACCGGCUAACUUCGUG
rnacentral:rRNA from 1 species